GCAGUUAACAAUGUAGAUAUAAGAAAGGCUGACAGUAGUAACAGUUUGUGUGAACUGCUCUGCGAAGCUAUGCCAUCUCCAGGUGAAGGUUCCUUGAAUUACGUAUGGAUCAAAAAUGGACAGUUCCUCUCGAAUGGAUCCCACCUGGAUGUCAGUAAUAGUGACUUGUCCCACUCCUACACUUGUAAUGCAAGUAACCCAGUGAGUUGGAAGAUUACUACAGAAAAGGCAGAAGACAAUUGUAAAGGUCGCCCCAUAGGCGCAAUUGUUGGAACGACAGUCACUGGUAUUACCUUAAUCGGAUUUGGAGUUGCAAUGUACCUAUGGAAAAAAAGGGCUUGCAAGCCUGAUGAUGACACAGCAGAAAAUGGUUGUCGAGCAGGCUGCAACAGAGUCACGGACGCUCCAAAUGGUAAAUCGGGUGAAUGAAUGGUGAAGAUUGGUGGACAAAUCAACAGUUUGAGUUGUGAAAGCCAUCCAAAGAACUGAUUUGAGUUUUUUAAUGAGUUUGGAUUUUUCAUCUUCUGUCACUGGAUUUCUUCAAAACUACGAAGAGAUUCAUUUGACAAUUUCCUCCUUACGCAGAUGGUUAAUUUACUAACCGACCACUGGAAAACGGCAGACUGCCGUGGCUCUCGUCAGCUUUUAGUAUUGUAAAGCUUGGGAAGCUUUUAGCUUGUCCAUUCUAUCGGAUUUUUGUUGUUUUUGUUGUUGUGGGGAGAUUUCUCAGAAUGUGUGUGAAGAAGGCCCCCCACACCCGCUAUUACCAUGUGUUGUCUUCAUAAUAUCAAAAUAGGUUUUAGCUGCAUUGCACUUACAGUAAAUGAGACUAGAGUGGCCUUAUAGAGAUCUGAACAGGGCCAAUUCACCAGACCCUUCAUCAGAGAAGGGAAGGAGUCAGUUGACAGUCUGAAUGAUGGGUGGGGUAAAUCUCUCAUGCACUUGCUUCAGUUUUAGUACUUCUUAUCUGUACACGAGAAUGAUUCAGGCCUGGAAUUAGAGAAAUGUGUCUAAAUGAAUGUUGAAUAGUUUUCUGUUCUCGUGCUCAAGACCAAGUGUGACAGUUGAACCAUCCAGUAAAUGAGAGAUAUAUAUGUACAUGUAUGCACUUUUGAUGAAAAUGGGUAAAAUGUGUUCCUGUGUGCCACCAAAUGUGGUUUGAGUGAUCCGAUCUUUUAUACCUGCACUCUGUCUGAAUUCACCACGUUGAAUAGCAUCAUUGUUCUUGAGUAAAGUAAAAAAAAAAAAAAUUCAUACUGGCAAUGUUGGAAUUCAGUGUUGUAGGAUUUAGCAGGUGUGUUCCAUAGCAUAACAUAUGUAAUGCCACUAUGUACUAAAAUGCUUAAACAGUACAGUUUUACUAACAUGUAGGCAGUAGGUUCUUUGUCAUAUAGUAUUUAGUCCGACAUAGACUUGGUUUUUCAUGUUGUCAAGUGGAAUCCCAUUGUGACCCAGUACCAACAAUGCAUAUGAGUGGCAUGCAUGAGACUAUACCAAAGAGUUUAGUUAUUGCAUCUACUUGCUUUCUCUACUGCAACUCUACUAUACUAGAAUGGCUUACAUACUACCCUAUGUACUUCUUAUCUGGGGGACAGCUUAAUCUUUGUCCAAAAGAGCCCUGUCAAAACUUUCAGCCAUAUCGUAUAUCGUAGUUCCUAUGCUUGCUGUCACUCUGUUGCUGAUUUCACUUGAUAGUGAGGUGCACUGCAGGGGUGUAAGAGUGAGUAAUGGGAGAAGGCUAUUGAGCACACACACACACACACACACACACACACACACACACACAGAGUGGACUGAAAGGACAUCAUGGUGGUGUGUGACUUGAGUAGAGUAUGUGUAAAGGGGUCCUGUAUGUUUGUGCAUGUGUGAGAAAAGUGCUCUUUCAAACAUUACUGGGGUGUAACCGUACAACUGCCUUGUAUUCUUACAUAUAUUCGUUGCCUUUGUGCCUUUUAUACUGAUUUGACCUUUUUUUUCUUUUCUUUUUUUUCUCUUUUUUAUAAAAUGUAAGUUCUAAUACAAGGGAUCCUUUGUAAUAAGACAAACAAAACAAACCACUUUGUAUUGUUU
ensembl:lncRNA